rnacentral:rRNA from 1 species
UUCGCUCGGGCAGUUUGGGCUAUGGUCCAAGUAGAUUCGAAUUUAUACCCAUCACGUAGUGUACGGAAUAUGUUCGGCAACUGGUUGCGGGGUAUAAAUAAACAAUUUUCUGCACAUAUUCUUGUGGGAGCGGCUGCCUUAUGCUGGGCAAUGUGGCUUACCAGGAAUGAUGUGAUUUUUAACAAUAAAUGUGUCUCAUCUCCUAUGCAGGUUAUUCAUGUUUGUACACGAUGGCUCCGUACUUGGUCUAUCCUGCAGAAGCCGGAAGACAGGAACAUUUUAUGA